rnacentral:rRNA from 1 species
GAUGAACGCUGGCGGCGUGCCUAAUACAUGCAAGUCGAGCGAACGGACGAGAAGCUUGCUUCUCUGAUGUUAGCGGCGGACGGGUGAGUAACACGUGGAUAACCUACCUAUAAGACUGGGAUAACUUCGGGAAACCGGAGCUAAUACGGGAAAUAAUUUUAAACGCAUGGGUUAAAAGUGAAAGACGGUCUUGCUGUCAACUAUAGAAGGAUCCGCGCUGCAUUAGCUAGUUGGUAAGGUAACGGCUUACCAAGGCAACGAUGCAUAGCCGACCUGAGAGGGUGAUCGGCCACACUGGAACUGAGACACGGUCCAGACUCCUACGGGAGGCAGCAGUAGGGAAUCUUCCGCAAUGGGCGAAAGCCUGACGGAGCAACGCCGCGUGAGUGAUGAAGGUCUUCGGAUCGUAAAACUCUGUUAUUAGGGAAGAACAUAUGUGUAAGUAACUGUGCACAUCUUGACGGUACCUAAUCAGAAAGCCACGGCUAACUACGUG